AGUGAACGCUGGCGGUAGGCCUAACACAUGCCAGUCGAACGGCAGCACAGUAAGAGCUUGCUCUUACGGGUGGCGAGUGGCGGACGGGUGAGGAAUACAUCGGAAUCUACUUUUUCGUGGGGGAUAACGUAGGGAAACUUACGCUAAUACCGCAUACGACCUACGGGUGAAAGCAGGGGAUCUUCGGACCUUGCGCGAUUGAAUGAGCCGAUGUCGGAUUAGCUAGUUGGCGGGGUAAAGGCCCACCAAGGCGACGAGCCGUAGCUGGUCUGAGAGGAUGAUCAGCCACACUGGAACUGAGACACGGUCCAGACUCCUACGGGAGGCAGCAGUGGGGAAUAUUGGACAAUGGGCGCAAGCCUGAUCCAGCCAUACCGCGUGGGUGAAGAAGGCCUUCGGGUUGUAAAGCCCUUUUGUUGGGAAAGAAAAGCAGCAGGUUAAUACCACGCUGUUCUGACGGUACCCAAAGAAUAAGCACCGGCUAACUUCGUG
rnacentral:rRNA from 1 species